UACAGAGGGUGCGAGCGUUGUCCGGAAUUACUGGGCGUAAAGGGCGCGUAGGCGGCGUGGUAAGUCACUUGUGAAAUCUCUGAGCUUAACUCAGAACGGCCAAGUGAUACUGCUGUGCUAGAGUGCAGAAGGGGCAAUCGGAAUUCUUGGUGUAGCGGUGAAAUGCGUAGAUAUCAAGAGGAACACCUGAGGUGAAGACGGGUUGCUGGGCUGACACUGACGCUGAGGCGCGAAAGCCAGGGGAGCAAACGGG
rnacentral:rRNA from 1 species